rnacentral:rRNA from 1 species
GACGAACGCUGGCGGCGUGCUUAACACAUGCAAGUCGAACGGAAAGGCCCUGCUUUUGUGGGGUGCUCGAGUGGCGAACGGGUGAGUAACACGUGAGUAACCUGCCCUUGACUUUGGGAUAACUUCAGGAAACUGGGGCUAAUACCGGAUAGGAGCUCCUGCUGCAUGGUGGGGGUUGGAAAGUUUCGGCGGUUGGGGAUGGACUCGCGGCUUAUCAGCUUGUUGGUGGGGUAGUGGCUUACCAAGGCUUUGACGGGUAGCCGGCCUGAGAGGGUGACCGGGCACAAUGGGACUGGGAUAGGGGCCAGAGUCAGUCGGGGGGCAGAAGGGGGGGAUAGUGCACGAUGGGCGGAAGCCUGGUGGAGCAACGCCGGGUGCGGGAUGACGGCCGUCGGGUUGGAAACCGGUUUAGCCUGGGACGAAGCGUGAGUGACGGUAAUGGGUAAAGAAGCACCGGCUAACUACGUG